ensembl:misc_RNA Metazoa_SRP Metazoan signal recognition particle RNA
GCCGGACGCGGUGGUGCGCGCCUGUAGUCCCAGCUACCCGGGAGGCUGAGGCAGGAGGAUCGCUUGAGUCCAGGAGUUCUGGGCUGUAGUGCGCUAUGCCGAUCGGGUGUCCGCACUAAGUUCGGCAUCAAUAUGGUGACCUCCCGGGAGCGGGGGACCACCAGGUUGCCUAAGGAGGGGUGAACCGGCCCAGGUCGGAAACGGAGCAGGUCAAAACUCCCGUGCUGAUCAGUAGUGGGAUCGCGCCUGUGAAUAGCCACUGCACUCCAGCCUGGGCAACAUAGCGAGACCCCGUCUCU